rnacentral:rRNA from 1 species
AUUGAACGCUGGCGGCAGGCCUAACACAUGCAAGUCGAGCGGAGCUGCGGACGGGUGAGUGAUGCCUAGGAAUCUGCAUGGUAGUGGGGGAUAACGUCCGGAAACGGGCGCUAAUAAAGCAUACUAUCAACUGAGCCUCGGUCGGAUUAGCUAGUGGGUGGGGUAAAGGCCUACCAAGGCGACGAUCCGUAAGUGGUCUGAGAGGAUGAUCAGUCAAACUGGAACUGAGACACGGUCCAGACUCCUACGGGAGGCAGCAGUGGGGAAUAUUGGACAAUGGGCGAAAGCCUGAUCCAGCCAUGCCGCGUGUGUGAAGAAGGGUUUCGGAUUGUAAAGCACUUAAAGUUGGGAGGCGUUACCAACAGAAUAAGCACCGGCUAACUUCGUGCCAGCAGCCGCGGUAAUAC